rnacentral:rRNA from 1 species
UGGGGAAUAUUGGACAAUGGGCGCAAGCCUGAUCCAGCAAUGCCGCGUGUGUGAAGAAGGCCUUCGGGUUGUAAAGCACUUUUAUCAGGAACGAAAUACCACGGGUUAAUAACCUAUGGGGCUGACGGUACCUGAGGAAUAAGCACCGGCUAACUUCGUGCCAGCAGCCGCGGUAAUACGAAGGGUGCAAGCGUUAAUCGGAAUUACUGGGCGUAAAGGGUGCGUAGGCGGUUAUUUAAGUCUGCCGUGAAAUCCCCGGGCUCAACCUGGGAAUGGCGGUGGAUACUGGAUAGCUAGAGUGUGUCAGAGGAUGGUGGAAUUCCCGGUGUAGCGGUGAAAUGCGUAGAGAUCGGGAGGAACAUCAGUGGCGAAGGCGGCCAUCUGGGACAACACUGACGCUGAAGCACGAAAGCGUGGGGAGCAAACA